rnacentral:lncRNA from 1 species
GUAUGAAAACUUUUAAUCAUUAUUUAAAAAAAAUCUAACAUUCCCCCACCUGAUUAAAAUGUUUUCAAAACUUUAUAAAAUAAAAAAUAGUCAAACCGGGCUUGUUUAUGUCAUGACUUCAAUAAAGGUAGCUUGCGGCUUUGAACCUGUUGCUGGAAAUUGGACCCGGGGGCGGCCGUCGGCUGAGGAGGAGGAGCUCCGGCGAACACUGGCGGGCGGCGAUCCGUCGGCGAGCGGCGUCCUCCGUGGGGGGCCUGCAAAAAGCCGGUGGCCGGGGUUUCCGGCGCCGGCCCUCCGAUGCUUAAGUCAGAGGGGGGCUUAAUUUUGGAGAAGGAGAGGGACUGUCUUUCCAGUCCGAAGCCUCCCUUUUGGGAGGAAGAAGCCUCCCUUUUUAUAGGAAGAGUGGCAGGGUUACCUGUGAUGUGACUG